GAUGAACACUAGCUACAGGCUUAACACAUGCAAGUCGAGGGGCAGCAUGGUCUUAGCUUGCUAAGGCCGAUGGCGACCGGCGCACGGGUGAGUAACACGUAUCCAACCUGCCGUCUACUCUUGGACAGCCUUCUGAAAGGAAGAUUAAUACAAGAUGGCAUCAUGAGUCCGCAUGUUCACAUGAUUAAAGGUAUUCCGGUAGACGAUGGGGAUGCGUUCCAUUAGAUAGUAGGCGGGGUAACGGCCCACCUAGUCUUCGAUGGAUAGGGGUUCUGAGAGGAAGGUCCCCCACAUUGGAACUGAGACACGGUCCAAACUCCUACGGGAGGCAGCAGUGAGGAAUAUUGGUCAAUGGGCGCAGGCCUGAACCAGCCAAGUAGCGUGAAGGAUGACUGCCCUAUGGGUUGUAAACUUCUUUUAUAAAGGAAUAAAGUCGGGUAUGUAUACCCGUUUGCAUGUACUUUAUGAAUAAGGAUCGGCUAACUCCGUG
rnacentral:rRNA from 1 species